UAUUCCUUAGGGAAACAAGCAGCUGAUUUGAGAAGCUAGUGGAUGUUUCUCAUAGUAAGAUCACUUUGAAGAAAGUAAAAAUGAAAACCAACAGAAACAAUAAGCCGAAGCCCAAGUUGUAUGAAACCUUCUCACAUCAAGUCUACCUGUUCCAGCUUCUGGAGUCUGGUGUUUGUUGAGAAUCUUAAGCCUUCAUUUGUAGAAUCCUUGUGCCUCUUUUCUGCAUUUUCCCCCUAAACUUAUCUGAAGUUUAUUUGAAGAAUAAUGAAGAAUGAAGAAAUAAGAAUGAAGAACAUUUUCAUCUUCAGACAGCUACUGGCAAGCUGGCUCUGAUCAUAAGGAGACUUUCAUACUUUGCUUAACUAGAAUUUGCCAGUUUUUCUCCACCAAGAACAGAAGGUACCUACUGAUUUCUUUGCUGGUAUCCUGGAGAAAAGCAGUUUGAGACUGUGAGCAGAAGUCCCAUUUUCAUGCUUUGGCCUAGCUCUUUUAAAGUACUUGCCCUUUUCAUUUGGAGAUGCUCACUCCCAGUACUGGCUCAGUCUUGCUCUCUGGCCACUCCUGUGGGACAAGCUCCUGCAGCUCUGAGAGGACUGCUAAAAAUACACAGCCAUUUUCAACCUCUGAGUGUACAGAAACUGGACAUUCUAUCCUGAUAUGUCUGCAAUCCUAUUAAAGGCUUUCUCUGAAAUGUAUUUCUGGGUGUUUGCCAAGAUGCAGCUUCACUCUGAAAAGGGCAAAAAUUAUUUUUGUAACUCACUCUUACAGUAUUGAGUGACAGGAAUUAACCAUAUGAACUUAACACGCUUCCAUCAAAAACUCAAAUUUCUUCACUAUAAGAAUAAAACCAGCUGCUGUUGGGAAAGAGGCACCUGACUCUGUUCAGGCUACACAAAUAGUUUGUGGCCACUGAACAUAUAGGAGAUAUUUCUACCAACAUCUGGGAGCUGCUAGAAGAGCUCUGUCAAGACAGCAUUAUAUAGUAUGGAUGAAUAACAAUUUUUUCUUUACCUCAGUAAGUUCUUAGUGCUUAGUGUCUUAUAUUGAUAUCUGAUUUUCCUGACAAAAGUCUGUAUUUACUUUAUUGCUGCUUGACCGUUUGUGUAUACUUCUUCCAACCCUCAAACUGUCAAAAUGUUAAAGACUUCUCUGAACUAUUGUACGAGUAAGUUGGGUUUAAAAUAUUAGAG